rnacentral:rRNA from 1 species
UGGGGAAUUUUGGACAAUGGGCGAAAGCCUGAUCCAGCCAUGCCGCGUGAGUGAAGAAGGCCUUCGGGUUGUAAAGCUCUUUCAGCCGGAAAGAAAUCGCGCAGGAUAAUACUCUGCGUGGAUGACGGUACCGGAAGAAGAAGCACCGGCUAACUACGUGCCAGCAGCCGCGGUAAUACGUAGGGUGCGAGCGUUAAUCGGAAUUACUGGGCGUAAAGCGCGCGUAGGUGGUUAGUUAAGUUGGAUGUGAAAUCCCCGGGCUCAACCUGGGAACUGCCUUUGUGACUGCAUAGCUAGAGUACGGUAGAGGGGGAUCGAAUUCCGCGUGUAGCAGUGAAAUGCGUAGAUAUGCGGAGGAACACCGAUGGCGAAGGCAAUCCCCUGGACCUGUACUGACGCUCAUGCACGAAAGCGUGGGGAGCAAACA